rnacentral:rRNA from 1 species
AUUGAACGCUGGCGGCAGGCCUAACACAUGCAAGUCGAGCGGAUGAAGGGAGCUUGCUCCUGGAUUCAGCGGCGGACGGGUGAGUAAUGCCUAGGAAUCUGCCUGGUAGUGGGGGAUAACGUCCGGAAACGGGCGCUAAUACCGCAUACGUCCUGAGGGAGAAAGUGGGGGAUCUUCGGACCUCACGCUAUCAGAUGAGCCUAGGUCGGAUUAGCUAGUUGGUGGGGUAAAGGCCUACCAAGGCGACGAUCCGUAACUGGUCUGAGAGGAUGAUCAGUCACACUGGAAGUGAGACACGGUCCAGACUCCUACGGGAGGCAGCAGUGGGGAAUAUUGGGCAAUGGGCGAAAGCCUGAUCCAGCGAUGCCGCGUGUGUGAAGAAGGUCUUCGGAUUGUAAAGCACUUUAAGUUGGGAGGAAGGGCAGUAAGUUAAGACCUUGCUGUUUUGACGGUACCAGCAGAAUAAGCACCGGCUAACUUCGUG